rnacentral:rRNA from 1 species
GGGUCAGCAAGUUGGUCGUGCCACUGGUAUGCACUGGCUUUGCUGAUUCCUCCUUCUUGUAGAACCGUAAUGCCAUUUAGUUGGUAUUGCGGGAAAACAGGACUGUUACUUUGAAAAAAUUAGAGUGUUUAAAGCAGGCUAACGCUUGAAUACAUUAGUAUGGAAUAAUGAAAUAGGACGAUCGAUCCUAUUUUGUUGGUUUCUAGGGUUGAUGUA